CACCAAUUAUUUAUGCUAAGUUGUUCUAGUUUUAUUAACGCAUUCUUUUGUAAUAAUACUAAUCCACUAUUUGGGUCUUCUCCUGUUAUUAGGCUGUGUAGUUUAUUAGUAAAGUUGUAUGGGUUUGGUCCCAUGCUUACCAAUUCUUCGAACUUUUGAGGGUAAACUACUUUGUAUGCUUCCCAUACUCCUUUAAUUGAUUCUCCUAAAAAGGUCUCCAUAUACCUAUGCAUGGUUUCUGCAUCUGUUUCACUGUAAUGAUGUAUGUAGUCUGCUACCACUAUACCUUUCCAUACGUCUACUGAAUUCCAUAAUUGGGGGUCAUGUGCUGCUAUAUUUAGUAUGUUUCUUCUAUCUCCCCCUUCUUGAAGUUUGAUAGGAGCUUCUAUUGGCAUUCUUAUUCCUUUUGGUCUAACCAUUUCUGGUUCAGUAGCUAGGUCUUGUCUAAAGACUUUGUGCCUAAAUUCUUUUGGAAGGGACUUGAACUAGUCGAGGCGGUUUCCCUAAAUUCUUUUAAACUACGUGCUGUCUCGUCAUCACUUUCUUAUUGUGUAUCUUCCUCCUGUCUAUACUCGUAAUUGUCUGUUCUAGAUCUGUAUUCUUUAAAGUGUCUUUCUACACUUGAGAAGUUUAUUCCUCUUAGUUUGCAGCCUUUACAUCUGAAGAUUGCUUUUGUAUCUGAUUCGUGUAUUUCUUUAGCUUUCUUUAUUGAUUUAUCUACUUCGUAGUCGUCUUCUUUUACGAUCUGAAUAUUCAUUCCUUCCAUGUUUAUUAUUGUUUCGGUGGUGUUGUCUUCGAGGUAUUCAUCUAUUUCUUUUUGGUCUGAAUAUUUAUAGUCGGUAAAUCUGAUUGAGGUUUGUCCUUUGUUAUUAGUAUAUGUAAGGUGGUCAUUGGGUCUUAAAACUUCUUUUUUACAUAAUUUCCCUAAAUUCCAUUCUCUACCAGCAUAUUAUUCCGAGUUUAUUUUUAACGGUUUCAUUAGUUUUAUUCCCUUAUUUCACAUUAAACCUACCACAUCGUCUAUUUUGAUUUUAAACUUGGAGCUGCUGCUAGUGGCUAAUUUUCCUAUGAAGCCUAUGCUUACUAGCAAAUUAUUUUCACAGUUCAUUUCUUCGUAACCUUUAGUUUGAAUCCCUAUUUUUAUGUACUUACCAAAUUCGGUUGAAUUUAUCAUAAAGUCUAGGCUACAGUAAAAUAUUCCUCCGUUGUUGGUCAUAUCUACUUCUGUUAGACCUAUUUUAGAUCUUUUUUAUUCUGCCCAUCUAUCAUCAUAUAAAGUAAUUAGCACUUUUGUUCCUAGAUUUUUUCUAGUUAAUCCUUUAAGUCCAAUUACAAUUAAUCCCAUAUGCAUGAGAUUCAUCCUUCUUUUUUGUAUUUCUUUCAUAGAUUAUUUGCUAAUUAAACUUUUACUUUCACUAUUGUCUCCUGAUAUGCACAUCUGUUUUUCUCUAUUGUGUCUGUAUAAUUGUGCUUUUGAAGAGAAUAGUCCUGUAUUAUAAAGUACUUGUGGGUUUAGAAGUUUUAAUCUAUUUUUCUGAAAAAUUUCUAUACCUUUGUCUAUAUUAUUUCAUCUAAUUGUUGACUGCUACUAGGUCUGGACGAGUUCAUUAUCCUGGCUAACACAUUAUUUCCUAAUCUAUCUUGAAAGAAACUGGCCCUUUGUCAUUCUUGGGGAGCUCUACUCCUGUUUGAAAAAAGGUCCAUGCCUUGUCCUUUUUUGUCACUUUAGGUCUAUCCUUUAGGGGCGUCAUUUCUGUUUUCUUUAGUUGUUCUAUCAGGUCUUGUAUAUUUUUAUCUAUUUUGUUUUUUCUUCAAGGAUUUUAUUUUCUAAUAAAAUAUCUAAUUUUUUAUUAAUUUCUGUGAUCUUAUCUUCUAGUUUUCUGUUUAAUUCUAAUAGCGCGAAAAUUAUUAUAUUAUUCUGUUUCACUUCUAUUAGGUCUGUUUUUCCUGGUGGUGUAUAUUCUGAUAAACAUUCGGGAUUGACUUGAAAUUGUGCUGCCCUUUUUAAAACUUCUUGGUAAAAAGGAUCGUUCAUGAAAGGGUUAAGUCUUUAAGUUAGUUUAAUUUUUCUUUUAUUUUUAUAGAUUUUGGUGGAGAUGUUUUAGUCUUUUAUUUAUAUCUUCUAUUGUACUAUUGUUAUUUCUGUUAUUAUUAUUUGCUAUAAUCCCUUGUAAUUUUAUAUUUAUAUCUAAUUGUUCCGUUUUUAAGAAAUCAAAAUUAAUUUCUUUUUUUUCUAAUAAUUUUUUAUGUUGAUUUUGCAGUCUUUCUAAAGUUUCUGUUGACUUUAGUAUUCUAUCGUCUUCUAACUGAGUGUGUUCUGCUAGAUUUAUUAUAAGGUCUGUAAUAGUGUUUAAGUGAUGAUUAUCGUUAUGUAAGAUGUGGUCUCCUUCUGUAAAGUUAUACCUGAUUACUGAACCAUGCUUUAGCGUUCUAUAUUUCUUUUCAGAAAUUAUUUCUAAGUCUAAAUAUUCUAAAUUCUUAGUACUUCCUAUUGUAGUAUUUUUAAGCAAGAUACCAAGUUUUUUAUUUCUAUCGUAUUGUUCUUGUCGGAUUUGUUGGAGGUAAUGGUCAAUUCUAGACCCUAUUCUUGGUAAUUGUAAAUCUAUUUGUCUAAUUUUUUGGUUUAUUGAAUUUAUUUUUACAAAUGAUAUUAAGCUGGGAUAUAACUGUUGUUGUUCUAAAUAUAGUUGUCUUUGUUCUAUUAGAAAGUCAUAUAUACUUGAAUAAUUUUCUUUUAUUUUUUAAAGAUACCAGUGAUAUUCUUGGUCAAUUAUUAUCUAUCUUUCGUAAGGUCGAGGCUUUCUUUUGGCUAUUCUGGUUGGCAUAUAUUUAAAAUAUUAGAUGUUUUUAUCAAAUGUUCUACUGGUCUCAUACAAGAUUGUAACAUAAGCUUUGAUACCAAUAAAAAGGUCGUUUAAAUUAAAUAAAGGAAUAAUAACACAAAUAACAAUAGUACAAUAGAAGAGAUAAAUAAAAAAACUAGAACAUCUUCACAAAGCAUCUAAAGAAAUAAAAUAAAAAUUAAACUAACUUAGAGACUUAACCCUUUCAUGAACGAUCCUUUUUACCAAGAAGUUUUUAAAAUGGCAGCACAAUUUCAAGUCAAUCCCGAAGGUUUAUCAGAAUAUACACCACCAGAAAAAACAGACCUACAUCGUCGUUACUAAGAGGGUAGGGAACUAACCAUUUACUAAGAGUAAGUAAAGACUCAGUAUAUGGGUAUAAACAGUUCAUGUAUAAACUGUACAUUUUUCUUGUAGUAUCUCCAUUACAUGUUGUACUUUAUGUCCUAUGGACCAAUUCGUUGUUGGAUUUUGCAUCACUCCUUCUCUUUUAUUUCAUCUUUCUUCUAUUUCUCUUCCUAGGGCUCCAGGGAGCUUAUUGAAAAGUUUCUUUCCUAAACUUUGGUCAAACACGUUACCCCUUAUGGCGCAAUAAUAGAAGAAGUCUUUUAGGAAGUUCUUUAUAUGACAUUAAUUAUUUAUGCAAAGUCGUUCUAGUUUUAUUAAUGCAUUCUUUUGUAAUACUACAAAUCCAUUAUUUAGGUCUUCUCCUGUUACUAGGUUGUGUAUUUUAUUAGUAAAGUGGUACGGGUUUGGUCCCAUGUUUACCAAUUCUUGGAACUCUUGAGGGUAAGCUACUUUGUAUGCUUCCCAUACUCCUUUAAUUGAUUCUCCUAAAAAGAUCUCCAUAUACCU
rnacentral:lncRNA from 1 species